UACGGAGGGUGCAAGCGUUAAUCGGAAUUACUGGGCGUAAAGCGCGCGUAGGUGGUUCAUCAAGUGGGAUGUGAAAGCCCAGGGCUUAACCUUGGAAUUGCAUUCCAAACUGUUGAACUAGAGUACGAUAGAGGGGGGUAGAAUUCAGAGUGUAGCGGUGAAAUGCGUAGAUAUUCUGAGGAAUACCAGUGGCGAAGGCGGCCCCCUGGAUUGAUACUGACACUGAGGUGCGAAAGCGUGGGGAGCAAACAGG
rnacentral:misc_RNA from 1 species